AUACGGAGGAUCCGAGCGUUAUCCGGAUUUAUUGGGUUUAAAGGGUGCGUAGGCGGACGAUUAAGUCAGCUGUGAAAUGCCCGCGCUUAACGCGGGAAGUGCAGUUGAUACUGGUUGUCUGGAGUGCCGUUGCCGUGGGGGGAAUGUGUAGUGUAGCGGUGAAAUGCAUAGAUAUUACACAGAACGCCGAUUGUGAAGACACCUCACGAAGCGGUAACUGACGCUGAGGCACGAAAGCGUGGGGAUCGAACAGGAUUAGAUACCCUGGUAGUCCACACAGUAAACGAUGAAUACUCGCUGUUUGCGAUAUACAGUAAGCGGCCAAGCGAAAGCGUUAAGUAUUCCACCUGGGGAGUACGCCGGCAACGGUGAAACUCAAAGGAAUUGACGGGG
rnacentral:rRNA from 1 species